GGGUAAUGUUCUUGAAGUCUGUGUGUGAUCUUGUUAUUAUGUUCAAUACCCUUGGUUAGAAUACGGAUGAAGUCCCUAGAUUCAUGUAGUUGUCUGAAAACCAAAUUAUGAUACCUCUAAAAUCUCAAGUUUUUUUUAUGGAUAUUAACUUGUGGGUCAUUGAACAGGGCCUUGGUCUGAUGGUAGGAAACAUGAACCAUAAUGUAGAAACAUAGGACUGUAAGGAAGUAUGAGUUUAGUUGGCUCAGUUUGAGGAGUUUUUGAUUGUUAAAUCAGAGAUUCGUAUU
rnacentral:misc_RNA from 1 species